GAUUAAUUAUAACUUGUGUGUGUGUGUGUGUGUGUGUGUGUGUGUGUGUGUGUGUGUGUGUGUGUGUGUGUGUGUGUGUGUGUGUGUGUGUGUGUGACUACACUUAAAAGAGUUGAAUUUCUUUCAAUUUAAUUCAUUUUCAACUUAAAGAAGCAUGAACAUAUGAACAUAAAAAUACAUUGUAAAAUUAUUUUAUUAUUUUAUUAUUUUAUUUAUAUAAAAUACUUUUUUAUACAUUUUCAUGAUUCUUCAAAUAUUACUUUUUAAUUUGACAGUUUUUACUGUGCAUUAAAAUAAAAGAUAGUAAUAUUUGCUUUGAGGUCAGUUGUUUUCUCAUGCAUGUCUUAAUUUAAUACUUGUUUGUUCUGAAUAUUUGCAGUUUAUUUUAUUUAAAAUGUCCCUUUUCUCUCAGCUCCAGCUCCUCAAUUGUUUUGAAACAAUUUAAAGGUUAAUUGUAGUUCCUUAAAUUCACAUUAUAUUUACCUGCAUACAGACACAAGUGGGAGUGAUUCAAGUUAUUAGAUUAUGAAACAAUUUAAGCAUGUUUUUGUAUGCUUUUUUUAUGCACACAGAAAUUCAAUCACAUAAAAACUAGCCAAAGAGCUGUCACAUCUGGGCAUUUGUAAUCUGGUUUAUACUUAGCAAAAUUGCUGUGUUUAUACAAAAUUCAAAAUCAAUUUGUUUAUGUGAUUUUCAGUUGUAAUGAGGUUACUGCAGUCCAUAUGAAUGUUAUCAUUUAUAUUUUAACAAUGCAUAAGCAACAUGAUUUAUCUCUUGAAAAUGACUGCUUUCAUUUCGGUUUGUUUCAUCUGUCAGAUUCUGAAGUCUAUGUAAUAUGUACAUUCCCGUUCACUGCUGUCAUGAACUGCUUAUAACAGAUUUGGAGAAAUAUAGCAUUACAUCACUAGCUCACCAUUGGAUCCUCUACAGUGAAUGGGUGCCGUCAGAUUGAGAACGGCUGAUAAAAACAUCCCAAUAAUCCACACAACUCUAGGCCAUCAAUUAACAUCAGAUGAAGAAACAAACUGAUCAACAUCAUGGAUGGCCUGAAGGUGACUACAUUUUCUGCAUGUUUUCAUUUUUGGGUUUUAAGGUUUUAAAUAUACAAUUCAACUUCAAACAUACCAAACGUAACGCAUGCAUUUAAUUCUGAAAUCAUAUUCAUCUCGUGAUAGUUUGUGUUUGUGACUGGUUGGUGUUGUUUUUGUGUUGUUGUUGCUGGAGAGAGCAUGUUUACUUUCUUCACCAUGUGUUUACCUCAAACUACAGGCCCUCUUGUAAAUGUCGACAUGAGGCGUGUGUGUGUGUGUGUGUGUGUGUGUGUGUGUGUGUGUGUGUGUGUGUGUGCGUGUGCAAAAGUGAUCCUCACCAGGAGGGUGUGAACAGGAGUGGAGACAUAACCCUUGAUACCACCUGUUUCCUGUUUUCAGGUGAUCAGUGCUAGAUUUGUUGGACAGGGCUGAAGAUCAAUUGGUCACAGAUACCCCCAUCUUCCCUCAGUGCAGAGCGUGGGAAAGUCUGAUUAGCUGAGUGAGCUUGUGCUACAAUGCCGUCUUUCCAGUUUGAAAAAUGCGUGCAGAUAAACAGAUGAAAUGUGUAUAGCCUACAAUUAAGAAUCAUUCUGUCAAUUGAAUUAUUAACAUGAAUAGUGUGUAUUUAUAUUGUUUGUGAUCAGCACUGGCCAGUGGUGUGUCUGUUUGUGCCCCAGCAGUCUAUACAGAAACUGAAGAACACCACACUCUCUUUUCCCCAUCAUUUUUUCUUUUAUCUCUCAAAGUCUUUAGUAAUUUAAAAUCAGAAAGCUUGAAAAAAAAUUCAAAGUAAAUACUGUUUGUAUAUAUAAUAUUAUUUUGUUAUAUAUAUAUAUAUAUAUAUA
ensembl:lncRNA